UACAGAGGGUGCAAGCGUUGUCCGGAAUCACUGGGCGUAAAGGGCGCGUAGGCGGCCUGAUAAGUAGGAGGGGAAAUCCUGGGGCUUAACCUCAGGGCUGCCUUCUAGACUGUCCGGCUCGAGCACAGUAGAGGCAGGUGGAAUUCCCGGUGUAGCGGUGGAAUGCGUAGAGAUCGGGAAGAACAUCGGUGGCGAAGGCGGCCUGCUGGGCUGUUGCUGACGCUGAGGCGCGACAGCGUGGGGAGCAAACAGG
rnacentral:rRNA from 1 species